CUUGCCCCAUGAGACGUAACCUUGGCCUGUGUGUCACGGUUAUGCUAUAAGAGGGCAGACAGAAACUGGCUAUAAAUGGCCCAGUUUUCCUGCAGUGGACACUGGGUACGGUACAUGGCCAGAUAGU